UCUUUUAGUUAUUCCAAGGGACCUAGAGACGAAUGGAAUAUCCUGAAAAUUGAUGGUUUUGAUGCGAAGGAUGAUCCAAAGAGAUUUAAAUCUAUCCAUUGCCAUCUGUUUCCACAAGUUUUUUAUUGCCCGCACAUCAGAUGAUGAAGAUUGCAAGAGGCGAAGCAAAAUUUAUUCCCAAUUACGGAGGAAAUGGAAGAUCAACGUAUGGUAAGGAGCAUAAUUGCGUAUAAGAUAUUCUAGAAAAAUUAUUUACAUUGACGGAAAUAGAAAUCCCAAAUACAUAUGUUAUUUUGCACUUAUAUUGAGUAGGAAAUUAUAACGUAAACAUAUAUACGUUACAUAGCGUUUGCUAGGUUGUACACAAGACUUGAGCUGAACUCGGGCUUGUGCUAUUGCUUAUUCAUGCUUGUUUGAAUUUUACAUGGACAUUCAGAGCCUUUUCUCAGUCAGUUUUCUAUUUUUCCAAUUUUCUGAAAACUGCUUUAGAUUUAUGGUAACCGAUACGUUGUACCUGUAAAACAAAAAUUUAUUACUUUUGUUUGUAACAAGCAUGAAAGCUGUGAACUAAAGCUUUUUAUUUUUAUCCUAUUGGCCUCAUGAAUAGUUUAAACAAUUGGUACAAUAUUACUGUUCCUCUAAAAAAGAUAAUGGACUUUGACUAUCUUAUUUAUAGAGAUAUCUGUUUAAAUUAGUCACAAAGUCAAUAGAAUAAAAACAAAAACCGCUUAGUUUCAACAGUUACUAAUAGCUAAGUUCCAAGAUAACGCCUAGUAUAAAUUGUGAGGUGCUCCUCGAAAGAACUAAUGCGAAAUAAAAUGUAUUUAAAACCUU